UACGUAGGGUCCAAGCGUUAUCCGGAAUCACUGGGCGUAAAGCGUGCGUAGGUGGCGUGUUAAGUGUGAUGUUAAAUCGUGGGGCUCAACCCUGUCGGUGCAUCACAUACUGGCAUGCUAGAGGACAGCAGAGGCAAGUGGAAUUUGUAGUGUAGCAGUGAAAUGCGUAGAUAUUACAAGGAACACCAAUGGCGAAGGCAGCUUGCUGGGCUACUCCUGACACUGAGGUACGAAAAGCGUGGGGAGCGAACAGG
rnacentral:rRNA from 1 species